CUGCGCCACGAGUGGGAACCACGAUUAUUGGGCCUAAAGCGUCCGUAGCCGGUUUUGUAACUCUUUUGUGAAAUUGCUGGGCUUAACUCAGCAACGUGCAGAAGAUACUGCAAGACUUGGAACCAGUAGGAGUCAGAAGGAUGUUUGGGGGAGCGGUAAAAUGCUAUAAUCCCAGAUAGACUACCUGUGGCGAAGGCGUCUGACUAGGAUGGAUUCGACGGUGAGGGACGAAAGCUAGGGGAGCGAUCCGGAUUAGAUACCCGAGUAGUCC
rnacentral:rRNA from 1 species